AUUGCAUUAAAGGCAUUUGCAUAGCUUAUUAUUUUGUGUAGGUAUUGAUCAGUAACUGUGUCACUCCAAGUUGCUCGUUUAAACAGGGAGAUUAACAAGGCGUUCUGUGGCUUUUUCGAUCAAUCUAAAUGUCAGCAGUAUCAGAGACUGUUUCAAGAUGAUAAAUUUUGCAGAGAUCAGAUUGAUCAAGAUGUUAAAGGCCUCAUAGGCAUAUACAGGGAUUCUCAUUUGUUGCGCGAAGCACCAUCAACUUCAUCUGAAUCAAAUCAAGGAAUGUUUGGGGACAAACCGAUAAGGACUUCUGAACAAAACUAUAGUCAGCAUGCGGUUCAUGAAGAUAAAAUAGGCAUUGUGACGGGGAAUUGGGGCUGCGGUGCUUUUGGGGGAGACCCGGAACUUAAGGCCACAAUUCAAUGGCUUGCUGCUUCUCAGGCAUUGAGGCCUUUUAUCUCUUAUUAUGCAUUUAGUGUGGAGGCAUUAGAGACUCUUGACCAGGUACUUCUUUCUGUCUGAAGCUGU